rnacentral:rRNA from 1 species
GACGAACGCUGGCGGCGUGCUUAACACAUGCAAGUCGAACGGUAAGGCCUUUCGGGGUACACGAGUGGCGAACGGGUGAGUAACACGUGGGUGAUCUGCCCUGCACUUUGGGAUAAGCCUGGGAAACUGGGUCUAAUACCGAAUAGGACCAUGGACUUCACGGUUUGUGGUGGAAAGCUUUUGCGGUGUGGGAUGGGCCCGCGGCCUAUCAGCUUGUUGGUGGGGUAAUGGCCUACCAAGGCGACGACGGGUAGCCGGCCUGAGAGGGUGACCGGCCACACUGGGACUGAGAUACGGCCCAGACUCCUACGGGAGGCAGCAGUGGGGAAUAUUGCACAAUGGGCGCAAGCCUGAUGCAGCGACGCCGCGUGAGGGAUGACGGCCUCGGUUGUAACUACUUCUAGCACAGACGAAGCGCAAGUGACGGUAUGUGCAGAAGAAGGAACCGGCCGAACUACGUGCCAGCAGCCGCGGUAAU